rnacentral:lncRNA from 1 species
AUUUGAGUACUCUUCGGAAUAUUAGUUAAGAAUACACUGGAAUCUGACAAAGUAGUGUUAGUGUAAAUAGAAAAUUUUUUCCCGCGUGUUGGAGAGAGAAAAUAAAAUCGAUUGGUUGGCAUUCAAUUUUUCCGAGAAAAAUUCUUUUUGUGGUUCUACAAAAUUAGAAGUUAGAAGACUAGGACGUGGUAUUAAAUUUAAACCAUUAUUCUCGCCCGGCCCCGUUGGACGCGAGCGACUUAGAAGCGGCACCGCUCCCAACUACGGGCGCAGGGUCACCAGCUACCCACCUAUACAGAUAGGGGUCGGGAUUAGUUUUCGUUUACCAUAAAAUGCUUUUCCGCCGUACCACGCCAUAUUUCCGUUGGAUCCGCCGUACGGAUUCGGUUACCUAAUUGGUUAUUCUCCUAUCCCGACCGUUAAAAAUUACGUAUGGCUAGCUUACGCUCGCUUCGGGUUAUCUCGGUCCAAAUUAUUUACGCCGACGGUUGAGUAUAGUCCAUUUAUAUCGUUAGGUAUAAUAACCAACGUUUCGAAAACGGCGCCGUUCGACUCGGCCUAAAUAACGGGACGGGAACGAAAAGACGCUCCUGUACGGUAUAAUGGAAUAACCGAGAAUGAGGUGCCGAAAACAGGUGUAUCCGUCAUAAAACGUCGAUUCUACGCCAGCGUUUACGCGCUGAUAUCGAUGUGCGACUGUAGGCCGAUACUAAAACCAAUUUAGCGGCUUAUUAAGGCCGAAACCCCGAAUAACCGUGCCAUUAAAGGCCGUGUUAACAUCGGGCUUUUUUCCUCCUCUACCGUGGACUGGUGAACUUCUACGGCACGUCGCGGACAAACCUAUAUAACUACGUACGUAUUUAGGUGGUGGUUAGAGCGGCCGCCUCCGACCCAAAUCAUUGUAGGCGCGGGAAUCGGACCGAUUCCGAGAGUGGAAUAUUUGGAAUCGGAGGCUGAAGAGUCGGAUAGCGAAAUUAAAAGACGCCUAAUUAUUUAGCUUAAUGCGUUUUCAUUAACUUUUAAUAAAUUUGCCGAUUAUCGAUAACUUCCGUUUCCAUAACUCUCGGUAUUUUUAAACCAGACAUCAAUAAACUCGGACCACUUAUACUAUUAUAACGAAAACUACAUUCCCUCCACAUCGAUAACGAAGAUUUGGGAACAGUGUAUCGUCGUCCCAUAUUUUGCCCAUUUAAUCUUUUAAAGCUUUCCCGACUAGUUGGGCUUAAGAGACGAUUGGAUGGGCUGGGAGCUGACGUGUGCCCAGGCUAGUCGGAGGCAGUGUCUAGCCUCCGGCUGUAGCGCCUACCCACGGUAAAUGGCCCAAUAAAAUACGCAUUUGUUUUUCUCCCCGCCAAUUAAAUCUUACGGCCAAUAAUUAACGCUCCGUUAUCAUUUAUUUCAUCGAGUAAAUAAGCCCCCAAAAUACACUUUUAAUAUUCUGGGCGACGAUUUUCCAGUUUCGCUUUCUUCUGUAACUAAUAACGAUUUUUCCAUCCGAACGGAAGACGCGACUUUAAAUCCCCCAGAUAAUUUAAUCUUCUCUACUGGUCUGGAGAAUGUCGUUUCAUUUAGGAUGGUUUUUCUUCCCAACCAAAAUGUUUUUAGAGGCGGAUCGAAAUGGUAAGGGACCGAGCCUUCGACCUCGACUAAAUCUAAUACGGCCGAGCGUAAAAGGGCGCUUUUCCGUGGCAAAUAUCCAUCAUAAAUGAAUCGGUCCCGUUUUUACUACCUGGAAGGGUGGGUUUAGCGCUAAGGUUUUACCCGAGACGAUAUUUUGGAGAAGCGUUUAACUAAGGGAUAUAAAGCGCGUCUAUUAGUUAAUUAAAAGCGUUUCGGAUCCGAUAAAGCCAUUUAUCGGAUGGGAAGCCUUAUGGGUAAUAUAAUAAAUAGGUCCGUAGUAAAAGACUCCGACCUUUAUUACUUCGGUCUUUUGCCUAUUAACCAACUGGAGAGAAGUCCUCAUUUCCUUUUUGCCGGUUUUCGGUGACGGUGGUGCCGUCGGAAACCGGUACCUUUUACACGCGUUUCUAGCACGUUCCGCUUAAGAGAAACAAAUUAUCGUCUCCCCUGGUGGUAGUAUUUCCGAGUUAACUGGUUAUCCCCACGCAUUAUUAUUAUUUUUAUAUAAUAGGCCUAAAUGUACUUUUACAGUAUAUGGCGAUAAUCGGGUGUUGGCAAAAAACUAAAAAUACGAUAGGUGGGUUACGUCGAUGGAAAACGGCCUGUUUUGACCAUCUAUUAAAAACCGGUCGAUUUUUCUCACCUAUAAUGGCGGAGUUUAUCUAGCUUCCUUCCAUUUAUCCGCGCUUAAUUACUCUGGUUGGUUUAAGUCUUGGAAAAAGAAAAUAAUGCCAAAGAAGGUCAAAACUUAUUCCUAAACAUCCGUCCCGCGUCCGUCCAUAAUAGCUAUAAAAAAGAGCGUCGAAGCCAGGCUCCGUUCCGUCCGCUAUCAGAGUGAGGGAAAUGAAAUAGGUAGCGUCUGGUCGAUUAACCGUCCGCUUAUUUGAAGUUUGGCUGUCCCAAAUAACUGUCCACCACUUUUGGAAAAUAUGGGCGCCAAAUUUUCUACAAUUAAUCGGUGUGACCGGCGGAUCCCGCCGCGGUCUGUUCGAGUCCUCCGGUUUCUCGGCCGUGGCCGAAAAUCUGCCCCUCCGAAGCGUCUUUACCCCCAUCGGAACAGUUUAGUAGCGCAGCCCAACCAGAAAAUUUUGAAACGCCCACCCCCGGCGCUAAAAAGCCCGGAAACGCUUCAUCCUUCAUUCCAGGGAAAAUUUAUGCGGAGUUCGAGUCGGCUGGCAGCCACUUAAGGCGAAUUGCCGCUCGAGCCGAUAUGUCCAGCAUUCGUUCUCAUUCCACGAUUCGAUUAAGCGUCGGUGGUAAACAACUGCCGAGUCGGUAAGAACAGGAAUACCUGGUCAACCACCAACCGCGGCCAUUGUAUUAUUCGUUUAGUACUAAUUUCUUCUCUGAUUGGCUAGUCUCCGCAGCUGGC